rnacentral:tRNA from 1 species
GGCCCCGUCGUCUAGGCUGGUCGAGGACACCGGUCUUUCAAGCCGGGAACACGGGUUCAAAUCCCGUCGGGGCCACAA